rnacentral:lncRNA from 15 species
UAUGUGUUUUCAGGUGGAAACAGAAUGUGUGAGGCUUACUACUGCUCCUCUUCUCUCAGAGUUCCUUGCACAACUUGACCAACACACUGCCCAGCUCAUCAAAGAAAGGAGGCUCUGCAGAAUGAAACUGUUGAAGACCCGAACGUCCUCUUCAAAGAACACCUGGUUAGUAAUUUGAGUCUACUAGUCUUGUUAGUUUGUUUAUUACUGAGGUCGUAGUGUGUGCUGCUGGUGUACUGGACUGUAUUGGACUGAAAUGUGUUCCUGAUAUUGUUUCUACCCCAACAAGUUCAUAUUUUGUAUUUUGUAAAUCUUAACUUGUUGACACAAUGACACAAUUAAAUUAUUAUGUAAGAGAAAAUGUUUAGUCCUUUCCUGGUUUUGUUCUCUGACAAUGUUCUGUUUACGGCCAGCGUAUGAGAUAUUUUGAGUAGAGAAGUAGAAGGGAAGUCAUUUUUCAGCAGGACAUCUACUUUGUGGCAGCAACGCCCGACAGGUGUCAGUCCUGUUUCCAUUUGUGUGGGACACAUGUUGGACAUUACUUUCUGUUUUGAAUGCAGAAUUGGAGUUUGGGAUUACUGAUAUGAAUGUUUAAGUGCUGCUCAACCCCAACAGUUC